CUUUGACACUUCCUGCUGUUCUUGACUUCUUAUCCCAGGAAAAUGAAUGAAGAAAACAUGUGGCAGAGGAGUCUGCCUUCUGCUGAUCUCCAGGAAGCUGCAUUAGCCUCUCUGAACCUGUCUCUGCUUUCCCCAAACCUUGCUGAGGUCCAGGUUGAUUAGCCCCAGCACAGAUCACCGCUCUUGGUUAGUUAACAAUGUGUCUGCCUGCUCUUUAGCCAGGAUUCUUUCUGCGCUGAGAUAAGAAAGGAUUCUCCAGACAUGCCUUCUUCCAUUCUUUUUUUCUCUUCCCCACAGAAGCGACAGGAUGUUGACAUGAGUCCUGCCUGUCAGGGUGGAGGAGCAUGGGCUGUGGGAAGUGAGGACAGCACAAAGUGGUGGUUGUUAUUUUUCUGGUUUCUGUGGAAGAACAGGUGAAGUAUUUCACUGCCUCUGUUUGGAGCUGUCAUACUGAAAGUCUCUUUUCAAAACAUGGACAAGGUGAGGGUCACAGAAGAGCGCUGCACUGGGCUUUCAGGAAGCAAACAGAUUAAUAAGAUUUGAAGAACCCAAUGGAACAUGAUGAGGGCAAUUACAACACAAAACACAUUAGUGAUAUGGGGAGAGGUGAGGUUUUGGUGAGAUCGAUAGAGAGAGGUGGCAAAACAUCACCAGAUAUUCAGGAAUACAGAUGCUUGAAGCCUGAAACAGGAGCAGUAGAAAGUAAGUAG
rnacentral:lncRNA from 1 species